rnacentral:lncRNA from 1 species
UGAUGAUUACGAUGAUGACAAUGAACUCCAUGCACAGAAGGUUAGAUUAUUUAAAUAAUUAGUUGUAUUUUUCUUGGUUUAAUAUACUUACUGCCUUGUAUAUUUACUAUUCAAUCUAGUUUAAUAAACUCAUUAGUUCAUAUAAUUAAUAUUCAUAGGAGCCAGAUAAUUUAGGCAACUCGCCAAGAAACGCUACAGCAGCCAUUUCAAGGAAAAGUCCAAGACUCAAUCCUUCAAUUCCAAAGGAUUGUACAAAUGAUGAGAGGAAAAGAGUUGGAAGCAGUAAAAAGCAAUUGGACUUUGACUAUGCUAAUGGUAUAUGCGAGAUUCAUCUUGAUAGCCCAACAAAAAAGGCACUUUUGAAGAAGGAUAAAGCCAAAAAAAUUGUAGUGCAGCCUAU